GGUAAGAUAAAUCAAAUCCAACCGGUUAUCUCUCUACUCUCUUCGACCUCUUCUACUUGAUAACAGCACAAUGCAGAGUAGACGUUGGUGAAGGUCUGCAGCGGCGGCGCCAGGUAAUUGACUCUGACGUGGAGCCAAUUGGCGUAGACGAUUCCGACGGCGGACUGAAAUGUCAUUAAAGUAGGCGACGAGCUCAACGCAGAGCAACAAGAGCACGAAGAUCAGAAGGCCCUUGAUGACUCGGUAGAGCCGCAACGAGGCCGACUCGGCUUGCGAAUCGGGAGACGCAGUUCGCGGUGCGGAUGGGGGCUACGAAGGAAUUGGUGACGAAGGCGAAGGAGGCGGUGAUUUGUUGGAAUUUGAGAAGCCAGAGCCAGGAGACCUGGCAGGCGCUCCGGGAGCGGUCUUUGCCGACAGUCCGAUCGGCACCGGGGCUGCUGAUCUCGACGGUGAGCAAGUGACCGGAGGAAUCGUCGAGCGGAGG
rnacentral:lncRNA from 1 species